rnacentral:rRNA from 1 species
GACGAACGCUGGCGGCGUGCUUAACACAUGCAAGUCGAACGGGAAGGCCCUGCUGUUAUGGGGAGCCCGAGUAGCAAAACGGUGGAUAACACGUGAGUGACCUGCACUUGACUUGGAGAUAACUUCAAGAAACUGGGACUCAUAUCGGAUGGGAGCUCCAGCUGCAUGGGGGGGGUUGGAAAGUUUCGACGGUUGGGGAGGGGCACGCGGCUUAUCAGCUUGCUGGUGGGGUAGUGGCUUACCAGGGCUUUGACGGGUAGGCGGCCUGAGAGGGUGGCCGGCCCAGUUGGGACGGAGAUACGGCCCAGACUCCUACGGGAGGCAGCAGUGGAGAAUAUUGUACAAGGGGCUGAAGCCUGAUGCAGCAACGCCGCGUCCGGGAUGAGGGCCUUCGGUUUGUAAUCUGCUGUCGUCUUUGACGAAGCGUGAGUGACGGUAAUGGGUAAAGAAGCACCGGCUAACUACGUG